AGCAGCAGCGGCAGGAGCAGGAGGAAGACCCGGCUGCGGUUCCCUCUCGUAUUUAAUGGCCUCUCGCUCUCUCUCCAAUCUCACCGCUCGCUCUCCUCUUUCUCUCUUUUUCUCUUUCUCUGAAACUGGGCACUGUGGAAAAUCAGCUACUGAAUCCGAGACUUUUUGACACCAGUUUGGUUUGAAAACACGAGCUGACGCAGACAAAGCGCGUUUUCUGUACAAAAAGUUCACACCGUAUCAUCGUCUCCCAUCCGCCUCCCCUUUUUUGCAUCUCUUUCUCACUCCACUUCUCUCCUUUUCCUCCUCCUCCUCCUCCUCCUCCUCCUUCCAUGUCUGAAUUGCCGAGCUCGGUUCCCACUGACAAGGGAGCUGCCGGUGCUUGAUUCCUCUCGAGUGUCGGGAUCCCCCCGAGAAGAUCUCCUGCAAUUUCUGUCUACUUGAUUCACUCUGAGGAGGGCCUACAGGUUUUAAGGUUGUGUACACUCCACAUCUGAUCCUGCUACUUCACUCCGAAAACGACAAAGCACCACGAUUCAGAAAGAGAGCCCUUCGUCCCACGACAUUGCAUUCUCUUCUCCCUUCGUAACCUCGAUCCCCGGUUCCGACACAGCAACGCCACGUUUCUUCUUUUUGUCCCUUCAUAAUUCGAAUUGAAAGGGAGCGCUUCAUUUCUUCCUGACCUCGAAUCCCCACCACCAAAACAUAAAAAGGAGCAAUUUUUAAUGCUCUUUCGACAAAAAGUCGCCAUUUUUGAGGCGGGUUCGAACAUGGGUAAACGAUCGUCUUCGGCGAGCAAAGACUGGGCUCAGAUCUACGCCGUGUACGGCGUCGACCAGUGGCAGACCCUGCUCUUCCUCUUGUCCCACGCCUUCCUCUUCUCCCUCCUCUCCCUCCUCUUCCUCCUCUACUUCGACCCGGUUUGCGGCUACCUGGAGGCCUUCCUCUCCUCGCCCGGCGGCGCCCGAUACGCCGCUGGGUUCGCCGGGGCGGUGACGGCGAUCUCCGCCGUCUGCCUCUUCUUCGCCGCCGCGAACUUCCUCUACUCGGCGCUGCCGCUGCACCAGGAGAUGGCGCAGCGGAUGGUCAACGCCGUGAGCGACUGGUCGGCGGUGAGGAACGCGCUGGACCUCGGGUGCGGGCGGGGGCUGCUGCUGAACGCGGUGGCGACCCAGCUGAAGAAGACGGGCAGCUCGGGUCGGGUCGUCGGGCUGGCGCCGGGCAAGGGCACCGCGCUUUCCACGCUCCGGACGGCAAAGAUGGAAGGUGUGCACGAGUACGUCACGUGCCGGGAGGGCGACGUGAGGAGCCUGCCGUUCCCGGACAACUACUUCGACGUGGUGACGUCGGCGGUGUUCGUGCACAAGGUGGGGAAGGAGCACGGCCACCGGACGGUGGAGGCGGCGGCGGAGAGGAUGAGGGUGGUGGGGAGCUCGUCCGGGUGCUGAAGCCCGGCGGGGUCGGGGUCGUGUGGGACCUGCUGCACGUGCCGGAGUACGUGCGGAAGCUGCAGGAGCUGAAGGUGGAGGACGUCCGGGUGUCCGAGCGGGUGACCGCCUUCAUGGUCGGCAGCCACGUCGUGUCGUUCCGGAAGCCCAGCCAGCACGUGGCGGGGCCCGGCGAGGUCCGGCUGGACUGGAGAUGCUGACCCGGAAUACGGAAGAGCUGGAGAAACUCCCCCGUAUAUUUAACCGCAGUAGGAAUGUCGAGUUACCCAGAAAGAAACCAAAAAAAUUAUUAAGAGACGAGCUAAAGAAAAUGAUGAUGAAGCUGGGGAAAAAUUAUUUAUUGGUAGAAAGCAUAACAAAUAAUUUUCUCUCUCUUUUUUUUUUUUUUUUUCCUUUCCUUUUGUUGACUGAAGUCUGGGGAGACAAAGCCAAACCAGAUGAAUAGUGGGAACUGCAGAAGGAGAUUAUGCAGGGCGGGGCAAAUGUUUCUGUAUUGACUGGCAUUUAUUAAUGUUUGUAACAUAAAUGUCACUCUCCUUGGUUCUUCUUGUCCUUGAUUUUAGUGUUAGAUAAUAGCCUACUUGUAAAUAAAAUGGAGUUUAUAAUGGUAGCAACGAUGCUAUUAGAAUGUUUCUCCGGUUA